rnacentral:rRNA from 1 species
UACAGAGGUCCCAAGCGUUGUUCGGAUUCAUUGGGCGUAAAGGGUGCGUGGGCGGCGCGGUAAGUCGGGUGUGAAAUCUCGGAGCUUAACUCCGAAACUGCAUUCGAUACUGCCGUGCUUGAGGACUGGAGAGGAGACUGGAAUUUACGGUGUAGCGGUGAAAUGCGUAGAUAUCGUAAGGAAGACCAGUGGCGAAGGCGGGUCUCUGGACAGUUCCUGACGCUGAGGAGCGAAAGCGUGGGGAGCGAACAGG